CCUACGGGAGGCAGCAGUAGGGAAUCUUCCACAAUGGACGAAAGUCUGACGGAGCAACGCCGCGUGAACGAUGAAGGCCUUCGGGUCGUAAAGUUCUGUUGUCAGGGAAGAACAAGUACCGGAGUAACUGCCGGUACCUUGACGGUACCUGACCAGAAAGCCACGGCUAACUACGUGCCAGCAGCCGCGGUAAUACGUAGGUGGCAAGCGUUGUCCGGAAUUAUUGGGCGUAAAGCGCGCGCAGGCGGUCCUUUAAGUCUGAUGUGAAAGCCCACGGCUCAACCGUGGAGGGUCAUUGGAAACUGGGGGACUUGAGUGCAGAAGAGGAAAGCGGAAUUCCACGUGUAGCGGUGAAAUGCGUAGAGAUGUGGAGGAACACCAGUGGCGAAGGCGGCUUUCUGGUCUGUAACUGACGCUGAGGCGCGAAAGCGUGGGGAGCAAACAGGAUUAGAUACCCUGGUAGUCCACGCCGUAAACGAUGAGUGCUAAGUGUUAGGGGGUUUCCGCCCCUUAGUGCUGCAGCUAACGCAUUAAGCACUCCGCCUGGGGAGUACGGCCGCAAGGCUGAAACUCAAAGGAAUUGACGG
rnacentral:rRNA from 1 species